ensembl:lncRNA
GGGGGGGGGGCUGUGGAUGAAGCUACUGAAUUAUUUCAGCACUUCGUGGAGCAACUUUGGGUUUUAGUGUUGUUCCUAAGAUGAAUUCCUUUUUUUUUUCUUUUUUGUUUUUUAAGGCCGCACUCGAGGCAUAUGGAGGUUCCCAGGCUAGGGGUCUACUCGGAGCUAUAGCUGCCAGCCUACACCACAGACAUAGCAACGCCAGAUACGAGCCACGUCUGUGACCUACACCAGAGCUCACGGCAAUUCUGGAUCCUUAACCCACUGAGCGAGGCCAGGGAUUGAACCUGCAACCUCAUGGUUCCCAGUCGGAUUCUUUCCCGCUGCACCAUAAUGGGAACUCCCCUAAGAUGAAUUCUUAAUAUGCAGAAGAAAGGAAAAAGGAAAAUGUGGGAGGGUGGAAAUGCGAUAAAAAGGAAAUAAAUGGUUCUGACUAGGAACCAUGAGGUUGCGGGUUCGAUCCUUGCUCAGUGGGAUCCAGCGUUGACGUGAGCUGUGGUGUAGGUCGCAGAUGCGGCUCAGAUCUCAUGAUGCUGUGGCUGUGGUGUAGGCAGGCAGCUAUAGCUCCGAUUCGACCCCUACCCUGGGAACUUCCAUACACCGUGGAUGUGGCCCUUAAAAAAAAAGACAAAGACAAACAAAACAAAACAAAACAAAACACCUUUAAGGUAGGUACAGUUGACUACUGGCCAGGAAAACCAAGUGGGCAUAUGACAUUCACACUUGGUGGAUCCUCUGGGAACGAGGGAUAAGCUGGCAUGGUCACUUCUGAUCCCGUCUCUCUCUUAGCUUCCUCCCCCCGUACCACAACCCCGGAUUACACCAUGGGCAACCUCAUCCGCCUGGGUCUAGCUGCCAUAAUUAUGGUUACUGUUGGGGCUUUGCUGCUCGAAGCCUGGUGUAGCCAAAAGAAGUCUCUACAAGGAGUCAGCACUGUAGCCCCAGUCAUUGUGGAAGAAGAAAAAAGCAGGUACCAUCAUACUUUUCAAACAGCCCCAGACACAGAAGAUGGGGAGAUGGGGUGUUGUUCCUGUGGGCUGAGAACCUGUGUCUGGACCUGUGAACAAUAAUAUUCCUUCUCUCCCUCCCUCCCAUUUUUCUCUACCCACAGGUCCUGCAUGUCCCCACAAAAACAAUGACUGCUUGAUCAACAGACCUGCUGCUUCUUGACUGUUCUGGGGAACCAGUAUUCUCAGCUCUACUGAGAGCUCCUCCAGGACAAGAUGAUGGUUUUCUCUUCCUGUCCUCUUCGCCAGGGAAGAGGACAGGAAUGAGCAUGAAGACUCACCUGAGAUACACUUCCAUAUCUAUCUAUCUAUCUCUAUCUCUACAUAUAUAUCCCCACCCUCCCAAUUCUUCCUCCUCCCUCCCCAGUUUCCCCUAUGGUAACUGUACGAUUGGUUUUGAAAUCUGUGAAUUUGUUUUAUAAAUAAGUUCUUUUCUUUUCUUUUCUUUUCUUUUUCUUUUUUUGCCUUUUUGCCAUUUCUUGGGCCGCUCCGGUGGCAUAUGGAGGUUCCCAGGCUAGGAGUCCAAUCAGAUAUGCAGCUGCCAGCCUACGCCAGGGCCACAGCAAAGAGGGAUCCGAGCCGCGUCUGCAACCCACACCACAGCUCACGGCAAUGCCGGAUCCUCAACCCACUGAGCGAGGCCAGGGAUCGAACCCACAACCUCAUGGUUCCCAGUUGGAUUCGUUAACCACCGAGCCACGACAGAACUCCUAAAUAAGCUUUUUAUUGUUUUUAGUAGAUUCCACAUCUGAGUGACAUCCUAUGAUAUUUGUCCUUCUCUGACUUACUUCACUCAGUAUGAUCACCUCUAGGUCCACCCAUGUUGCUGCAAAUGGCAUGACUUCAUUCUUUUUUAUGGCUGAGUAAGACUGUACUGCACAGGAAAAUCUACUCAAAAGUUUGUAAUCACCUAUAUGGAAAAAAAGAAUGGAUAUAUGUUAUGUACACAUGCAUGUGUAACUGGGUCCCCAUGCUGUACGGUGGGGGGAAAAAAGGGUGUUGGGGGAAAUAACAAUAAAAAAAUAAAUUAAAAUACA